CCUACGGGAGGCAGCAGUGAGGAAUAUUGGUCAAUGGACGAGAGUCUGAACCAGCCAAGUAGCGUGAAGGAUGACUGCCCUAUGGGUUGUAAACUUCUUUUAUAUGGGAAUAAAAUGUUCCACGUGUGGGUUUUUGUAUGUACCAUAUGAAUAAGGAUCGGCUAACUCCGUGCCAGCAGCCGCGGUAAUACGGAGGAUCCGAGCGUUAUCCGGAUUUAUUGGGUUUAAAGGGUGCGUAGGUGGAUUGUUAAGUCAGUUGUGAAAGUUUGCGGCUCAACCGUAAAAUUGCAGUUGAAACUGGCAGUCUUGAGUACAGUAGAGGUGGGCGGAAUUCGUGGUGUAGCGGUGAAAUCCGUAGAUAUCUGGAGGAACAUCAGUGGCGAAGGCGACUAACUGGCACAUAACUGACGCUGAGGAGCGAAAGCGUGGGUAGCAAACAGGAUUAGAUACCCCUGUAGUC
rnacentral:rRNA from 1 species